UAGGGUUUCAUAGUGGCAACACCGAAUUCCCAGUUCUCAUGAAAGUUCGUCUGCAGCAAAAAUCCAGUCUCCCUGUCAGUGAUUGGCUCAUCCCUUUUUUUGUUUUGAUUUUUGAAUUCUGGGCUCAUUUCACUAGUUAAAUUGACGUUUAUCGUGCUGAUAAAAAUGGUGGUGAAGUGCUUUGUGGCGUGUUGCUCUGCCGGGUAUGCCUCAAAUAAGGUGAAAGUAACAAAAUUUCGUGCUCCAAAAGACGAAAAACAAUUCAUUCUCUGGCAGAAAGCUAUUCCCAGAACCGAUAGAAAGUUGACAAAAAAGGACUAUGUGUGCGCAAACCACUUUGAAGAGAAAUAUUUAACGAAAGUAAAAACCAUUCUUGAUCAAGAAUUUCCUCUGAAGAUUUGAAGUUGGCAGCUGAAGCCAUUCCUACUCUAAAUCUAUGGAGUGACACAGAUAAAGUGAAAAAGAAAAAAAAGGAGGGUAAACAGGAUAGUGAUGCUGACCAGCGGCAGAAUGAGCUUGACUUGCCCAACACUCCUCAGCCGAUUCAGUUGACUGACAGUCAUGAAACACUUGAAUUUCCCAGCACAACUGAUAAGUUAGCAGCAGAUGUUGAGAUGGUGGAUCCUCUAGAAAUUGUUGAUCAACCCAUCAAAGAAGCAGUCAACAACAUUAUCUCUCAUCCCACACAAUUGAAGCUUCCUAAGGCAUGGCAAUGGUGUUCUGUUAAUGAAGAUCUCCAAGAGGACAAUCCCAUAGCUUACAGCAGGAUAACUGCUGUUAGAUUUGGCGUUGUUAACGAAUUCACAAUUCCCAUUAAAAUGAUUACAGUUGUUGGAUAGGUGAAGUGUUUUACACCGUCAAGGGUGUUUUAAUCACACCACCUCAUUUCUUGCCAAAAUCCUUCAGCACAGUAGAGGAACUCAAUGAUCUCUUGUCUCGCUUCGACUCGGCAAACAUUUGUAGUGGUUGCAAACUGGUUGGGAAGGGAGUGCUAACACCCAACCUGAAAAAAACAACAGUCAAGCAGCUUGGUGAACGAAGAUCGAAAUUCUGCAUUCGGCUUAUCCAAAAAGGGUUCACUUGCUACAGAUGCGAACACCUGACUAAUUUAGUGGCUGGAAAGUCACCGAAGCCAACUAAUAUGGAGCGACUUCUUGAACAAAUCAAGAAUUCAACUUACAAAAAUCGUCUGUUAACAAAACAGAACGUAAAGGAAUGCUGAUCAAGGAACUAAGACAAGAAAUCAAAAGUUUAAAAAAAGACCGAGACGUUGUAAAUGCGUGUGUGAGCCCUUCAACAUAAAUGAUUCUGCCUUACCCUUAAUCAUAA